rnacentral:rRNA from 1 species
UUCCCGGUUGAUCCUGCCGGACCCGACUGCUAUCAGAGUGGGACUAAGCCAUGCGAGUCAACGCCGCAAGGCGUGGCAUACGGCUCAGUAACACGUAGUCAACAUGCCCAAGGGACGUGGAUAACCUCGGGAAACUGAGGAUAAACCGCGAUAGGCCAAGAUUUCUGGAAUGGAUCAUGGCUGAAAUCUAUAUGGCCCUUGGAUUGGACUGCGGCCGAUCAGGCUGUUGGUGAGGUAGUGGCCCACCAAACCUAUAACCGGUACGGGCUCUGAGAGGAGAAGCCCGGAGAUGGGCACUGAGACAAGGGCCCAGGCCCUAUGGGGCGCAGCAGGCGCGAAAACUCUGCAAUAAGCGAAAGCUUGACAGGGUUAUUCUGAGUGAUUUCCGCUAAGGAGAUCUUUUGGCACCUCUAAAAAUGGUGCAGAAUAAGGGGUGGGCAAGCCUGGUGUCAGCCGCCGCGGUAAUACCAGCACCCCGAGUGGUCGGGACGAUUAUUGGGCCUAAAGCAUCCGUAGCCGGUUCUACAAGUCUUCCGUUAAAUCCACCUGCUUAACAGUUGGGCUGCAGAGGAUACUAUAGAGCUAGGAGGCGGGAGAGGCAAGCGGUACUUAGUGGGUAGGGGUAAAAUCCGUUGAUCCACUGAAGACCACCAGUGGCGAAGGCGGCUUGCCAGAACGCGCUCGACGGUGAGGGAUGAAAGCUGGGGGAGCAAACCGGAUUAGAUACCCGGGUAGUCCCAGCUGUAAACGAUGCAGACUCGGUGAUGAACAGGCUUCGUGCCUAUUCAGUGCCGCAGGGAAGCCGUUAAGUCUGCCGCCUGGGGAGUACGGUCGCAAGACUGAAACUUAAAGGAAUUGGCGGGGGAGCACCACAAGGGGUGAAGCCUGCGGUUCAAUUGGAGUCAACGCCGGA